UACGUAGGGGGCUAGCGUUGUCCGGAAUCAUUGGGCGUAAAGCGCGUGUAGGCGGUCCGGUAAGUCCGCUGUGAAAGUCGAGGGCUCAACCCUCGAAUGCCGGUGGAUACUGUCGGGCUUGAGUACGGGAGAGGCGAGUGGAAUUCCUGGUGUAGCGGUGAAAUGCGCAGAUAUCAGGAGGAACACCGAUUGCGAAGGCAGCUCGCUGGAACGUUACUGACGCUGAGGCGCGAAAGCGUGGGGAGCAAACAGG
rnacentral:rRNA from 1 species